AAGGGUUUAGGUUAAAACUCAGACCAUAGGCCUUCAAAGCCUAAAGUAGAUGAAAAAUCAUUUAGCCCUUG
rnacentral:tRNA from 1 species